AAUGGAAGAUGAAUGAGAAUUCCCGUAUGUUUCUCCUUUGCUCUCAGUUUCAGUUUUAUUCUGCCUCUUCUUUCUCUACUCUCUGACCUUUGCGUACAUUUCCCCUUUAUUCUCAACUUCAGUUUUAUUCUCCUUUCUUCUUUCUCUACAUUCUCUGACCUUUGCGUACAUUUUCCCUUUGUUCUCAAUUUCAGUUUUAUUCUCCCUCCUUCUUUCGAUACGUUCUCUGACCUUUGCGUGAUAAGAUAUCGACGAUCACUGGAGAUCAAUAACGAAAGAAAGCAUCAACUCGAUCACGAAGCUCUCAGUUAUUCCUUCCUCGGUGAACGUUCAAGCUGGUUGAAGGCCAUUCAAUGGAGUAUAGAAUAAUGACAGUUUUGUCCAAUGCACAUGGACUGAAGCUCACAGUUUCACAAAGAACUCACAAUCAUGCAUAGUUCUGCUACCUUGUUUUCCCAAUACAGUAAAUGUAAUUGGUAUGAUUUUAGUAAUAACAAGAAUGUAAAUGUAAUUGGUAUGAUUUUAGUGAAAUAAUAUUACUGCAACCCCGCACAUACAAAAAUUCCAUCUUAAACUAAUUACCAUUUAAAUUUUCGAGGAAAUAAUUUUAGUGGAUGUGUUUGCAUGCGGUAUGUGAGAAAGUAAUAAACGUGUUUGUUUGUUUUUUUUUUUUUUUUGAAGGAUAAAUUGCAUUAAUAAACAUUAAGAACGAUUACAACAAGGUUCAAAGGAAUGAAAAACCAUUCCAUACAAUCUGACAUAGAAUCCAAUUUUUUAGCUAAGCUAAUAAAAUUUGAAUUCGCAAACUGUUUUACAUCAAACAAGUUUUGAUUCUUGAAGGUCUUGCAUACCACCUGAGUCUUUAUCUUCAUACUGAAGUCCAUUGAUACUUUGUCAUCUUCUUUGCUCAGGAUGAGUUUCACAUGAGUCAAGACCAAAUUUAUACUAGUGCACUCCAGAAGCACGAACCUCGUCACAAGAACGAGAGGGAGAAACGAGAGGGAAAACACAAUAAACUGCAACAUAGAUGCAGAGGGAAAUAAAAUACAACAAACAUGAAAAUAUAAAAAUAGAAGAAGACAAAAGGAGGAACUCACGGGUCUCGCCUCCAAACAUAAAGUCAAAACCUAUCCCCUAUAUAUAUAUAUAUAUAUAUAUAUAUAUAUAUAUAUAAUUUUAUUUCAAAAAAGAAAAGAAAACAGGAUAAACGGCGAGGGAGGGGUGGAAGCCGAUGGCAGGUCAGAGAUCUGCGAUGGCGGUGGAGGGAAAAGAUGAGCAGCUGCGACGAGGAACCGAUGGUGGAGAUCGGAAUAGUUGUUGCGGCGGUGGCUGGUGGAGAAAGACAGAGAGCUGCUGAUGACUGCGGAGGUACGGUAAUGGUGGAGGGGAGAGUCGAGGGACGCCGGUGACAAGGAAGAGGAGUGCAGGCGCCGCCUCCACUAAACUAGCAAAGGCGGCGACCGCUGGAAAAAAGAAGGGGAAGCCGGAAGUGAGGGAUGGUUAGAGAGCAGGAGGAGGGUUUUGGUGAGAGAGCAAAAAUAUUCUCUGUUAUUAUCCAAUAAACAUAAUUAUUAAAUUUCUUAAAAGUUACGUUAUUAGAGCAUUAAAGUUCAUUUAAA